ACCGUGUAGUGGGGGAUAACGUAGCGAAAGUUACGCUAAUACCGCAUACGAUCUACGGAUGAAAGCAGGGGACCUUCGGGCCUUGUGCUAUACGAGCGGCCGAUGUCUGAUUAGCUAGUUGGUGAGGUAAAGGCUCACCAAGGCGACGAUCAGUAGCGGGUCUGAGAGGAUGAUCCGCCACACUGGGACUGAGACACGGCCCAGACUCCUACGGGAGGCAGCAGUGGGGAAUUUUGGACAAUGGGCGCAAGCCUGAUCCAGCCAUGCCGCGUGUCUGAAGAAGGCCUUCGGGUUGUAAAGGACUUUUGUCAGGGAGCAAAACUUACUGGUUAAUACCCGGUGAGGCUGAGAGUACCUGAAGAAUAAGCACCGGCUAACUACGUGCCAGCAGCCGCGGUAAUACGUAGGGUGCAAGCGUUAAUCGGAAUUACUGGGCGUAAAGCGUGCGCAGGCGGACUUUUAAGCCAGAUGUGAAAGCCCCGAGCUUAACUUGGGAAUUGCGUUUGGAACUGGGAGUCUAGAGUCUGUCAGAGGGGGAUGGAAUUCCACGUGUAGCAGUGAAAUGCGUAGAGAUGUGGAGGAACACCGAUGGCGAAGGCAGUCCCCUGGG
rnacentral:rRNA from 1 species